rnacentral:tRNA from 1 species
GCCGGCUUAGCUCAGUUGGUAGAGCAGUUGAUUUGUAAUCAUCAGGCCUGGGGUUCGAAUCCUCAAGCCGGCACCA